rnacentral:rRNA from 1 species
GAUGAACGCUGGCGGCGUGCCUAACACAUGCAAGUCGAACGGAGUCCAGCCUUUAAGACUUUCGGGUCAAAGAGGGGACGACUGAGUGGCGGACGGGUGAGUAACACGUGGGCAACCUGGCUCAUAGAGGGGGAUAACCGAGAGAAAUUUCUGCUAUUACCGCAUAAGCACACCCUGCCGCAUUGCAGAUGGUGAAAAGUGAAGCGCUAUUGGAUGGACCCGCGUCUGAUUAGCCAGUUGGCAGGGUAAGAGCCUACCAACGCGACGAUCAGUAGCCGAUAUGAGAAGAGGGACGCGCGCACGGGGACUGAGACACGGACCAGUCUGCUACGGGAGGCAGCGGUGGGGGAUAUUACACAAUGAGGCGGAGCGUAAUGCAGAGACGCCGCGGGAGGGAAGAAGUAUUUAGGUAUGUAAAGCUCUAUGAGCAGGGAAGAUAAUGACGGUACCUGAAUAAGAAGCCCCGGCUAACUACGUG